rnacentral:rRNA from 1 species
GAUGAACGCUGGCGGCGUGCCUAAUACAUGCAAGUCGAGCGAACAGACGAGGAGCUUGCUUCUCUGAUGUUAGCGGCGGACGGGUGAGUAACACGUGGAUAACCUACCUAUAAGACUGGGAUAACUUCGGGAAACCGGAGCUAAUACCGGAUAAUAUUUUGAACCGCAUGGUUCAAUAGUGAAAGACGGUCUUGCUGUCACUUAUAGAUGGAUCCGCGCUGCAUUAGCUAGUUGGUAAGGUAACGGCUUACCAAGGCGACGAUGCGUAGCCGACCUGAGAGGGUGAUCGGCCACACUGGAACUGAGACACGGUCCAGACUCCUACGGGAGGCAGCAGUAGGGAAUCUUCCGCAAUGGGCGAAAGCCUGACGGAGCAACGCCGCGUGAGUGAUGAAGGUCUUCGGAUCGUAAAACUCUGUUAUUAGGGAAGAACAAAUGUGUAAGUAACUGUGCACGUCUUGACGGUACCUAAUCAGAAAGCCACGGCUAACUACGUG